UACGUAGGGACCAAGCGUUGUUCGGAUUUACUGGGCGUAAAGGGCGCGUAGGCGGCUUAACAAGUCACUUGUGAAAUCUCCGGGCUUAACUCGGAACGGCCAAGUGAAACUGUCAAGCUAGAGUGCAGAAGGGGCAAUCGGAAUUCUUGGUGUAGCGGUGAAAUGCGUAGAUAUCAAGAGGAACACCUGAGGUGAAGACGGGUUGCUGGUCUAACACUGACGCUGAGGCGCGAAAGCCAGGGGAGCAAACGGG
rnacentral:rRNA from 1 species